GACGGGUGAGUAACACGUAAAGAACCUGCCCAUAGGUCUGGGAUAACCACGAAAAAUCGGGGCUAAUACCGGAUGUGUCAUCGGACCGCAUGGUCCGCUGAUGAAAGGCGCUCCGGCGUCGCCCAUGGAUGGCUUUGCGGUGCAUUAGCUAUUUGGUGGGGUAACGGCCC
rnacentral:rRNA from 1 species